UGAGCCUUUGAAUUUACAGCUGUUCCCUGAUGUCAUUUCCCCUGCCUCACUUCUGUGCAGCUCCUAGCUGGAAAAAACUUGGACAACUUAGAGGGGAGAAAGGUCCUGCUGACCCCAGGAGGUCUCUUGGCUGAAGCAAAGGAAAAGAAGUUGACUUCAACUUGCACUGAAUCCCAUUGCAAGCACUUAGAGGCAGCAUUUGACCACAAAAACUUCAACCUCCUACCCUACCCCUGGUAUCCCAGCCAAAGAAACAUUUCAGAAGAGACAGAAUUUCAAUUUGCUUUCCUCUUCCUGAGAUGGAAACAAUUUCAUGCAAAUCGUUUUAACGUUUUCAAGCUUCAGUGAGGCUAAGAGCCUGCAAGGCUUUGAACAUUUUACUGCCCUGCAUCCAAAUCCAUGUUUGUAGUUAUUAAAAGGACCCAUUUUAACUUGAAAAGUAAGAUACUUGCGAAUUAUAUGCUAUCUCACUAAAGUGAUAAAUAAGAUGGAAAAAGUAAACCUCUUUUACAGCUCUUGUUUCUAAGUUAAGUAAGAUGGAAAAAGGAUGAGUUUCUGGUUGAAACUUUAAGACACCUCAAGGCCUCCACUGACUUAAUAAGGCCAACUGUUUUCUCAUUUCCAAUUUCUUUUAUUAUUUUUUUCUACUUCACUUUGAGCACACAAAAUUAAUAACUAUGUUUUUAUCACAGAGAAAUAAAGUAGCACUGCUGAAAUCUGCAAACACAA